AAUCUAUAUAAAUUGUUUUGAAAACAGUGUGCAGAGAAAUUUCUCUAUAGAUUA
rnacentral:tRNA from 1 species